GCUAGAGAAGAUUAGUGGCGGACGGGUGAGUAACAUUUAGGAAUCUGCCUAGUAGUGGGGGAUAGCUCGGGGAAACUCGAAUUAAUACCGCAUACGACCUACGGGUGAAAGGGGGCGCAAGCUCUUGCUAUUAGAUGAGCCUAAAUCAGAUUAGCUAGUUGGUGGGGUAAAGGCCCACCAAGGCGACGAUCUGUAACUGGUCUGAGAGGAUGAUCAGUCACACCGGAACUGAGACACGGUCCGGACUCCUACGGGAGGCAGCAGUGGGGAAUAUUGGACAAUGGGGGCAACCCUGAUCCAGCCAUGCCGCGUGUGUGAAGAAGGCCUUUUGGUUGUAAAGCACUUUAAGCAGGGAGGAGAGGCUAAUGGUUAAUACCCAUUAGAUUAGACGUUACCUGCAGAAUAAGCACCGGCUAACUCUGUGCCAGCAGCCGCGGUAAUACAGAGGGUGCGAGCGUUAAUCGGAAUUACUGGGCGUAAAGCGAGUGUAGGUGGCUCAUUAAGUCACAUGUGAAAUCCCCGGGCUUAACCUGGGAACUGCAUGUGAUACUGGUGGUGCUAGAAUAUGUGAGAGGGAAGUAGAAUUCCAGGUGUAGCGGUGAAAUGCGUAGAGAUCUGGAGGAAUACCGAUGGCGAAGGCAGCUUCCUGGCAUAAUAUUGACACUGAGAUUCGAAAGCGUGGGUAGCAAACAGGAUUAGAUACCCUGGUAGUCCACGCCGUAAACGAUGUCUACUAGCCGUUGGGGUCCUUGAGACUUUAGUGGCGCAGUUAACGCGA
rnacentral:rRNA from 1 species